UGGGGAAUAUUGCACAAUGGGCGCAAGCCUGAUGCAGCAACGCCGCGUGAACGAUGAAGGUCUUCGGAUCGUAAAGUUCUGUUGCAGGGGAAGAUAAUGACGGUACCCUGUGAGGAAGCCCCGGCUAACUACGUGCCAGCAGCCGCGGUAAUACGUAGGGGGCUAGCGUUAUCCGGAUUUACUGGGCGUAAAGGGUGCGUAGGUGGUCCUUCAAGUCGGUGGUUAAAGGCUACGGCUCAACCGUAGUAAGCCGCCGAAACUGGAGGACUUGAGUGCAGGAGAGGAAAGUGGAAUUCCCAGUGUAGCGGUGAAAUGCGUAGAUAUUGGGAGGAACACCAGUAGCGAAGGCGGCUUUCUGGACUGCAACUGACACGGAGGCACGAAAGCGUGGGUAGCAAACAGG
rnacentral:rRNA from 1 species